rnacentral:lncRNA from 1 species
UUUUUUUUUUUUUUGUCUGUCCUUGCAAUAUUUCAAAACUUUUUUUUGUUUGUUUGCUUUUCAGGGCUGAACCCGCAGCAUAUGGAGGUUCCCAAGCUAGGGGUCGAAUCAGAGCUACAGCUGCUGGUCUAUGCUACAGCCACAGCAAUGCAGGAUCCAAGCCUCAUCUGCGACCUACACCACAGCUCACGGCAAUGCCGGGGGAUCCUUAACCCAGUAAGCAAGGGCAGGGAUCGAACCUGAAACCUCAUGGUUCCUAGUCGGAUUCGUUAACCACUGCGCCAUGAUGGGAACUCCUCAAAAUCUUUCAUUAUUAUAUUUGUUAUGGAAAUCUGAUCUUUGCUGUUACUACAACUCACUGAAGGCUCAGGUGAUACUGUUUUUUAGCAAUAAAAUAUCAUUUAAAGUAUGUACAUUUUGCACACUAAUAGACUAUAGUAUAGUAUAAAGAGUAACUUUCAUAUGGAUAAACUAAAAAAAUUCAUGUGACUCACUUUGUUGCAAUAUUACCUUUAUUGUGGUGGUCUGGAACAAAGCUGCAAUAUCUCCAAAGCAUGCCUGUAAUCUAUGAGGCUUGUACAACUAGUGUACCCUUUGGGACAGUAAAUAAACUAACUUGAUAAGAAGAGGAAAAAGGGGAGUUCCCGUCGUAGCACAGCAGAAAUGAAUCUGACUAGGAACCAUGAGGUUUCGGGUUCGAUGCCAGCCUGCUGUGUAGGCUGGCAGCUGUACCUCCAAUUAGACUCCUAGCCUGGGAACCUCCAUAUGCCGCGAGUACGGCCCUAAAAAAGCAAAAAAAAAAAAAAAAAAAAAAAAGAGGAAAAAGAAACCAGCAGUGCCUGCUAUGUGCCAGAAAUGGUGGUAGAUAUUUUACUAUCAUCCUUGAACACAGGUCUGCUCAAACCCAGGGCUAGAUAGGGCCUAGAUACCUUGUAGGGUAAGGCUCAGAGGAGUCUUAGGAUGAAAGCAAUAUUUGAAGAUCACAAUGGUAGUCAGGCAGGAUAGCCUGAGAGUAGGAAGGAAAGGUUAAAUUCAAAGAGGGCAACAAGAUUUAGUCAUCUUAGGGAAAAAUGAUAAAGGUCAAGUCCUUGCUUGUGGAGAUAAAGGUAAAAAUACAAAAAUCUCUUGCCGGGAGGACAAGCCAUUUGGACAUCAGAAUGAAGAAAGCUGGCUUUGCAGAUACCACCACUGCUCAGUCAGUCAACCCCACUGUGUUUUUCAACAUUGCUGUCCAGGGUGAGCCCUUGGAUCAUGUCUUUCAAGCUGUUUGCAAUGUUGCAAAGACAGCAGGAGACUUUCAUGCUCUGAGCACUGGGGAGAAAGGACUCAGUUAUAAAGUUUCCCGCUUUCACAGAAUUAUUGUGGGGUUUAUGUGCCAGGUGGUGACUUCACAUGCUGUAAUGGCAUUAGUGGCUGGUCUAUCUGGGGAGAGGAGAAAUCUGAUGAGAGUUUCAUCCUAAAGCAUAUGGGUCUUGGUAUCUUAUCCAUGGCAAAUGCAUGACUCAACAAAAACUAUUUCCAGUUUUUCACCUGCACUGCCUAGAGUGAAUGGUUGGAUGGCAAACACGUGGUCUUUGGCAAAGUGGAAGAGGGUAUGAACAUUGUGGAAGCCAUGGAGUGCUUCGGUCCAGGCAUGGCAGAACCACCAAGAAGCUCUUUAUUGCCAACUACAGACAACUCCAAUUAAGUUUUACUUGUGUUUUAUCUUAACUUCCAGAUCAUUCCUUCUGUAGCCUCAGGAGUCCCCUCACCACCAUCACCUGCUCAAUCUAUCCUAUAAUCUUUGUGCUGUCUGAAAAUAUGACUCAACAUCUAUUCAUAUGCUGCAGUUUUUUAGGUUCUAUAUUUUCUUUCCUUCCCUCCAAGUCUAGUUGGAUUGCAGAGUUGUUUAUGUCCUGUACACUUGUGUGCAGAUGGCAGACAAAUCAAUUUUUAGUGAAUGUGAAAAACUAAAUAUCUAAGUUUCAGUGCUUUACUAAAUAAUUUAUUAUCCCACCUAUUGAUUGUCUCCUGCCAGAGAAAGGUGAGUUAGCCAGGGAAAAAGGCAGGUCUCAGCUUUCCAUACAACUGAAAGCAGGAGGUUGGGCAGAGGCAUUUUUUUUUUUUUUUCGUCUUUUUUCCAUUUCUUGGGCCGCUCCCACGGCAUAUGGAGAANAAAAAAAAAAAAAAAAAAAAAAAAAAAAAAAAAAGUCAAACAUGUUAAAGCUUCUCCAGUGAUUCAGUGUUUUUACUUGGUUAAAGGACAUCUCUAUGGAUAAAACUGAAGUUUGUGCUCUCACUACGUCAUAUCUCUCUGGCCUGGAGAUGCAGAAGUCCAGGGGAAGGGAAAGUGCACCAGGAAGCCGAAAGUAUCCCACAUGAUCUACUCCAUAGGCUAGUGAGUAAGGGUUUUUUUUUGGUCUUUUUGGGGCCGCACUCACAGCAUAUGGAAGUUCCCAGGCUAGGGGUCAAAUAGGAGCUGUAGCUUCUGACUUAUACCACAGCCACAGCAACGCGGGAUACGAGCCCCAUCUGUGUUCUAUACCACAGAUCACGUCAAUGCCAGAUCCUUAACCCACUGAGAGGGACCAGGGAUCAAACCCUUGUCCUCAUGGAUACUAGUAGGGUUUGUUAACUGCUGAGUUAUAACGGGAACUUCAUGGGGGUUAUCUUAAGCAUAGUUGAGUCUAGAUUUGCCUAAGUAUGACGAUUUUUAUUUGGGAGAUGGGUGGGUGAUCGAGAAUAAAGGGAGUGUAAAUACCCAGACUCCACAUAAGGCCUUUCUUGAAUUCAAUCUUGCUAUAACCAUAAGUUCUUAUAAAAUUUGGUCUCUUCCACGGGAUAUAUCUCAUCUCCACACACAGGAUGAGACUUUUGUUAAGCUCUGCCACACUAUAUAUUAAGUACUCUUCAAGCUCAUUGUUAAAACUGGCUUGGAAGUAGAGGGUUGUUACAAGCUCCUCUACAUCACAAACUUGGCACAUACUUGGGAAGAGAAAGGAGAAAGCAAUCAGUGGCUGGAGAGGCUGCUCAGCGUUUUUACCUUGCUUAUUCCAUUGCCCAAGUUGUGUAGAUAUUGCUGUAAUUGAAGGCUGAGUGGGGAUGUGUUAGGAAUGAGCAUCCCCCCACUGGCUUUACUGAGAUAAAAUAGAUGCAUUAAACACUGUAUAAGUUUAAGGCAUACAACAUGAUGAUUUAAUAUAUAUGUAUAUACUGCAAAACGUUUACCACAAUAAGGUUAGUUAACACAUCCAUCACCACAGUUACCAUUUUUUCUUUUUCUUUUUUUGGCUGUGCCCAUGGCCUGUAGAAGUUCCCAGGCCAGGGAUCAAACCUGUGCUACAGUAGCAAUCUGGGCCACUGCAGUGACAAUAUUGGAUCCUUAAUCCACUGUGCCACAGGAGAACUCCUUUCCUUUCUGUGGUGAAAAAUUUUAAGAUCUACUUUCUUAGUAAGUUUCAACUAUAUAAUAUGGUAUUUAACUAUAGUUACCAUGACACCUAAUUUUGCAGAGAUUAAAUGAGAAAACUCUAAAGGAAAGCACUUAGUAAUUGCUAAAUGAAUGCCCGGUAGUGAAGUCCAAUUCAUGCUAAUGCCCAGCAUUUAAAUUUUCAUGCUUAAGACAUUUAAGUUGAAGAUUCUUUACAUGUUAAUUUCAGCAGAUGUCAGAAUUAUUCAGAAUGGAAAGACAAUGAAAGCUUAACUGUAGUCAUUAGAUAUAUACAAUC